rnacentral:rRNA from 1 species
GUCGGAUUAGCUAGUUGGUGAGGUAAUAGCUCACCAAGGCGACAAUCCGUAGCUGGUCUGAGAGGACGACCAGCCACACCGGAACUGAGACACGGUCCGGACUCCUACGGGAGGCAGCAGUGGGGAAUAUUGGACAAUGGGGGAAACCCUGAUCCAGCGACGCCGCGUGUGUGAAGAAGGCCUGCGGGUUGUAAAGCACUUUUAGUGGGGACAAAAAGUCACGGAUUAAUACUCUGUGAUCUUGAUUUAACUCACAGAAAAAGCACCGGCUAACUCUGUGCCAGCAGCCGCGGUAAUACAGAGGGUGCGAGCGUUAAUCGGAAUUACUGGGCGUAAAGCGCGCGUAGACGGUUUUGUAAGUCAGAUGUGAAAUCCCCGGGCUCAACCUGGGAACUGCAUUUGAAACUGCAUGGCUAGAGUAUCGAAGAGGGAAGUGGAAUUUCCGGUGUAGCGGUGAAAUGCGUAGAUAUCGGAAGGAACACCAGUGGCGAAAGCGACUUCCUGGUCGAAUACUGACGUUCAUGUGCGAAAGCGUGGGGAGCA